CUUUAAUAACUUGCUAGUGCAUUUUCUGAAAUGAAGAGUGCUUUUCCAGGAGCACCAAUUGUUCCCUGGAAGUCUAUCAUUCAAGCAUUGAUCAACAUCAACCUAACAAGACUAGAAUACAAGGAACAGAAAACAAGCAGCAUUGCUGGAGGGAGCAUGAUCUGCAUACACAUACAGUGACAUGUGUUCCCAACACGGACUACACGGGAUACAGCCAAUGUAAAGCAAUGUAUUCUUGUAAACACUUCAGAAUGUUCUGUCAGUAAAGUUAUCAGGAGGGAAAACAAGAAAUAGUCAAAAGUUGCCUAGUCAAGCAGAGUGACUUACAAGACAUUUUGAUUGAAAUUAUUAUUAUUAUUAUUAUUAUUAUUAUUAUUAUUAUUAUUUUUUAUUUAUUUUUUUUAAGUGAAGAUCAACAGUAUCGUAUGAAAAUAACAAUUCAUUACCUAGUGUUUCAAUAAAUAUGCUGUCAAGUUGCAUUGCAGUUUGUGCUACAGAACCUUCUUUAACCUAUUUAAGUCUUUUGUGGCUGGCUGUUGAAAAUCUAUCCAUUUGCUCAAAACAAACCUUCUCAUGAGAUUUAUUAACUACCUGUGACUAAUUGUCUCCAUUCUUCCUCAUAAAAAUAACAGCGCCUGAAAAGGGUAAAAGGGGAGGAGAAGUGAAUUCUUGCAUUUCACAAUGUUUUGAUUUUCAUAAACGUUUUAAAUGUUAGGUAUCAGAUGCCUUUACUGUGUUUCACUAACUUGCCAACUUGACUAAAUAAAAUAGUAAACUUAACAAAC